UAAAUGAAUUUUUGCAGUUUAAUUGCAAAAAUGCUGACAUGUCAUUAAACAGUAGAAUAGUAAAAGACAGAUUUAAAAAAAAAAAACGCAACUGAAGACAGUAACAAUUAACAACAUAUGGCAAUGACCACUGUACUGAAAUCCAAUGAUCAGAUACAUUCAAUGUAUAUCACUAGUUAGCUGAACUCCUGCUCUUUAAGUACAACAAUGGUGUAAGUACCCAGAGAAGCCUACAGUAAUGCUGCUGACAAGGGCUGUCAAUAGCUGUUCUGUUACAUUCUCAGGCUUGGAAAGGACAGAUACUUCCUAUACUGUUGGAUUGGAAAACAGAAAGGGGUGGGGUGGACUACAAAAGAAUUUUUUUUUAAAUAAGUAAAUAAGUUACAAAAAAAAAAAAAAAAAAAGGAAU